GAUGAACGCUGGCGGCGUGCCUAAUACAUGCAAGUCGAGCGAAUGGAUUGAGAGCUUGCUCUUAUGAAGUUAGCGGCGGACGGGUGAGUAACACGUGGGUAACCUGCCCAUAAGACUGGGAUAACUCCGGGAAACCGGGGCUAAUACCGGAUAACAUUUUGAACCGCAUGGUUCGAAAUUGAAAGGCGGCUUCGGCUGUCACUUAUGGAUGGACCCGCGUCGCAUUAGCUAGUUGGUGAGGUAACGGCUCACCAAGGCAACGAUGCGUAGCCGACCUGAGAGGGUGAUCGGCCACACUGGGACUGAGGCACGGCCCAGACUCCUACGGGAGGCAGCAGUAGGGAAUCUUCCGCAAUGGACGAAAGUCUGACGGAGCAACGCCGCGUGAGUGAUGAAGGCUUUCGGGUCGUAAAACUCUGUUGUUAGGGGAGAACAAGUGCUAGUUGAAUAAGCUGGCACCUUGACGGUACCUAACCAGAAAGCCACGGCUAACUACGUGCCAGCCGCCGCCGUAA
rnacentral:rRNA from 1 species